GUGAACGCUGGCGGUAGGCCUAACACAUGCCAGUCGAACGGCAGCACAGUAAGAGCUUGCUCUUACGGGUGGCGAGUGGCGGACGGGUGAGGAAUACAUCGGAAUCUACUUUUUCGUGGGGGAUAACGUAGGGAAACUUACGCUAAUACCGCAUACGACCUACGGGUGAAAGCAGGGGAUCUUCGGACCUUGCGCGAUUGAAUGAGCCGAUGUCGGAUUAGCUAGUUGGCGGGGUAAAGGCCCGCCAAGGCGACGAUCCGUAGCUGGUCUGAGAGGAUGAUCAGCCACACUGGAACUGAGACACGGUCCAGACUCCUACGGGAGGCAGCAGUGGGGAAUAUUGGACAAUGGGCGCAAGCCUGAUCCAGCCAUACCGCGUGGGUGAAGAAGGCCUUCGGGUUGUAAAGCCCUUUUGUUGGGAAAGAAAAGCAGCAGGUUAAUACCCCGCUGUUCUGACGGUACCCAAAGAAUAAGCACCGGCUAACUUCGUG
rnacentral:rRNA from 1 species